UCCUUGAAUUUCAUCUCUAUUCCAAUUUGGGAAUUUCUUGAAUUUUUACUGCUUGGUAAUUAAUUUUGCCUUUUUACUGCAAUGAAAAAUGGUGAGCUUGGUUUGAUGCAUCCUUGUUCAUGGUUUAACAUCUUAUUACAGAGGGUAAUGUUCAUUUCUCUUGCUGAUUUUGUUUUGAGAUCUUGGUACUGCUGCAAGUCAGGUCUGUUAGCUGUAGUUGCUUGGGACUUCAUGGUUCCGUUUGAGUUUGAAACAGGUUUUGGUGGUUUGGCUUGAUGCAAGUUGGUACAGUCAUGGUGUUGCUAGGCAAGCAAGGCAUGUGUUUCAAAUAUAAAAUGGAUUAUGGUAUACAUUUGGUUCAAUUUUGGCCUGUGCAUGAUGGCAUGGUAGGGAGAAUGUUGAUGUUACUAACUUGUGAACAUGUUCAGUUAAGUCUCAAUGUUGCUGAAUUUCCAGGAUUUUAUAGCAGUGUUUACAUGCUGAUUGCACUGUAGCCUUGUUGUAGCAGGUAGGUUCAUUGACUUCUAUUGCAUUGGAAUGGCAGGAUGUAUCACAGGCAUUUGCUUUGGCCUUGCUACGACAGCUAUUGUAAGAUUGUCUUGGUUCAUAGUUUGGUAGGUGAGUCCUUUGUCUCAUGUUCUGGUUCAAUGCCUUAUAAGUUUUAAUCCCACUAUUUGCACUCAAUUCCUUACCCUCACUUGUUUCUCUUGCUGCAACAUGAACUUGGCCUAUCAUGUUCAAGCUAAGGUCUAGCCCUGGUAGCCUAUGAUGCAAGCUUGGAAACUGUUUGGCUUUGAGGUGUGCACAUUGUGAUGAAGGUGUAAUGUUGCUGCUCACUUGGUCUUGCAAUGUCAUGUUGGAUCAUUUUUCAGUUCAGCAGGUGAGUGGCUAAGCAUGGUUUGAUUUCUUAUUGAAAUGCAAGGAAAAAACCAUGUGCUUGAGUUGGCAUGCUUCAUGUUGU